AUGUGUAAGUUUUCCUUUCUUUUUUUGGUUUUCUAGCUUUAUGGAGUGCGUGGAAGGGGGUGAUUCGUGUCACGUGGGAAGUCAAUGGAUCACACGAGCCAAUGACAUCAACUUCCGGAAACAUCUUUUCCGGCUUUAAAGCUUUGAACCGCUUCGCAGGUUUUUUGGUAUUUGGACGUUUUGGUGCUGAGGUGGUCGCAGAGUGGCAACAGACAAGUGCCUAAGAGGUUGCGGAAAAGGUCUUGCAUCUUCAAUAUUCCAUCACAAGUGUUAUCUGCAUGGUCUUCUCACCUCUGGAAGAGAUCAAUUAAGGACUAAAACUGAAACCCCAAACAAAGUUCAGUCACAGGUUGUGACGACCAAUAGUUCCACAGUCUCCAUUUUGUGCAUCAGUUGGUAUUUUGUCAGUUUCAUAAGAUUGUAUAGCCUUUUACUAGCAAGCAGUAAUUUAGGAAAGAGGAUGGUCUUACUGUAUUUGAUAGCCUACUACUUUAUGAUGGAAAUUGGUUAAUGGAAUUCUCUAUCUUCUGCAUAUGAAA